CAAUAGCGUAUAUUAAAGUUGUUGCAGUUAAAAAGCUCGUAGUUGGAUUUGUGGCGUACGGUGUGUUCCGGGCACUUGUUGUCUGAGUAACCUGCUGUUGCCAUCCUUGGGUGGAACCUGUGUGGCAUUAGGUUGUCGUGCAGGGGAUGCCCAUCAUUUACUGUGAAAAAAUUAGAGUGUUCAAAGCAGGCUUAUGCCGUUGAAUAUAUUAGCAUGGAAUAAUGAGAUAGGACUUUUUUGCUAUUUUGUUGGUUUGCGCAAAGAGGUAAUGAUUAAUAGGGACAGUUGGGGGUAUUCGUAUUCCAUUGUCAGAGGUGAAAUUCUUGGAUUUUUGGAAGACGAACUACUGCGAAAGUAUUUACCAAGGAUGUUUUCAUUAA
rnacentral:rRNA from 1 species